CACUGCGGUGAGCCGGACGCCAUCAAUCACCUAUCAGCUGUGUGGAAAUACAUGAGUCAAGCGUCAUUUGUGGGCAGACAGCUCAAUGACGCUGCAUUUUCACAUGUUACACUUUGGAACACAUGAUACCUUGCCUUUUUAACCCUUUAUCCCAAAAGGAACUACACCCAUCUGUCAGGAGAGAUGAGUAGUGACUGACCUAGUGCGUCUGCAUGUGUACAGUGACGCAUGUGAGGUGACAUUGGAGAUAUGAAGGACUUUGCAGAAUGUUCCAGCGUCUCAUCCAGAUUAAUUAUCUCUGAAUUCUUCAUUGUGAUGUUGGGUAUUAGAGGACCUCUAAAUAUACAGUAGUCCAGGAAAUUGGCUUCAUUGUGUACCCUUGUAGGGUGAGAUUGAGAGACAUCUGAAAAGAGACUGGGGGAAAAGACAUUAUCUUGAGUAGCCCCCCCAUCCAUUGAACCACAAAGGAGCUGAAUUCCAUGCAAAAGACCAGUGCUUUCUAACCAGGGUGCCUCCAGCUGUUGCAAAUUUCCUGUAGUCGCUCCACCCAUUGAAGCAGAACAGGCUCCCUGUUAUCAUCUGAAUAGCAACAGCUAGUCACAUGUCCCUCUGCCAGAAGCUCGGAUUUCAGCUGUGUGCUCUGCUGCUGUCUGUUUGCCCAGCUCUUUGGCUGUAGAGUCCAGUGAGAUGUGUGCAGCAGAGCCAGGAUGAACCCCAUCACACUGCAGGCACAAGGAAGCCUCCUAACCAGGUCCUGCCAGCAGAAGACCUUACAGCAGAUCCCAGCAUCUGCCACACCAUGCCCAGCAGAGGCAGAACACCAGGAGCUGCAAACACUCAACUUGGAGUUGGGAUCCAGUGAACUUGCAAUGGACUGUCACAAAACUAGAUAGCAUCCAACAACGUGAAGAUGCCACCUCAACAUACAUAGCACCCCUGGAGCUGUGCCCUGUCUCUGUCCUCCACAACUUGGCUAGUGGGGUGCAAGACCCCCCCAAAAAAGGUGUCUGCAAGGACAAUGAACACAUCAGGGACUGGUCCAUUUAGUCUGGUGGGACAUCUGAUGUCCGGCAGUCGCCAUCUCAGAUCUACACGUUUGAUUUAAUGCUGACGGCUGUCUUCUUGGAAUGUGGACAGGACAUUGGUCCUAUAAAUCUGGAAUUUAAAAAGAACCUGUUCCUUGCCGUCCGUGAUAUAAGCUGUAGCAGAUUGUCAUCUCUGAAGAUGUUUCCCUAUUACAUGAAGAACAUUAAAGCACAUUUGCGUUGCUUUCGCGUAACAUGUUGAACUGGAAUAAUAACCAUAUUUAUAUGCAUCUUGUUUUUAUUGCCUUUAUUCUUUCUUUUCCACUUAAAGGGGUGCUCCCGUGGAAAUUUUUUAUUUUUAAAUCAACUGGUGCCAGAAAGUUAAAAAGAUUUGUAAAUUACUUCUAUUAAAAAAUCUUAAUCCUUCCAGUACUUUUUAGGGGCUGUAUACUACAGAGGAAAUGCUUUACUUUGUAGAUUUCUCUGAUGUCAUGACCACAGUGCUCUCUGUGUUGCUAAGGAGUUAAAGGGGUACUCCGGUGGAAAACUUUUUUUUUUUUUUUUUUAAAUCAACUAGUGCGAGAAAGUUAAACAGAUUUGUAAAUUACUUCAAUUAAAAAAUAUUAAUCCUUCCAGUACUUAUUAACUGCCGAAUACUACAGAGGAAAUUAUUUUCUUUUUGGAACACAGAGCUCUCGCUGAAUCAUGAACACAGUGCUCUCUGCUGACAUCUCUGUCCAUUUUAGGAACUGUCCAGAGCAGCAUAUGUUUGCUAUGGGGAUUUUCUCCUGCUCUGGACACUUCCUAAAAUGGACAGCAGAGGUUAGCAGAGAGCACUGUGGUCAUGACAUCAGAGAAAUCUACAAAGUAAAGCAUUUCCUCUGUAGUAUACAGCCCCUA